UUCCUGGUGGUCCAGUGGUUAGGAUUCUGUGCUUUCACUCCAGGGGGCUCAAGUUCAAUCCCUGGUCAGGAAA
rnacentral:tRNA from 1 species